GUGGGCGUAGCUCAGCUGGUAGAGCCCCGGAUUGUGGCUCCGGUGGUCGUGGGUUCAAAUCCCAUCGCUCACCCCA
rnacentral:tRNA from 1 species